CGCCGCGAGCCCGCGCCCCCGCCAGCUCGGAGCGGCUUUGCUCCGCCCGACCGCUGCGCGCCCAGGAAAAUCCCCCCCCGCUGCCACCCGCUGCCGGCGCCCGGUGAUGUCAUUGUUUGUGGAAAUCUGCACAGCUCCGGGCAGGGAAUUACGGUGUAUUCAGACUCUCUAGGAAGAAGAAUUCAGAUCCACACACUAUCAAGUCGAGGAAAAUCUGCUAUGUCAGAGACGGGGAACAGGGCAAACCAUAGUCAUCCAUAGGAGGAACUUCUGGACCUGUGCAUAUUGUUUGAACCACCGCAGAAGGUUUGUCCUCAUAUUGCAGUUUGGUGCAAAAUGAAUGGUGCAGAACAAUACUGACAGAUUCAGUGAUAGGGAGACAUGUACAAGGAAGACCUGGCAACUUUCCUCAGCAAGAACAGAUGAAUGAAUAAGGAAAAUGAGCUUGUGCCUUUUAGCUGAGGUGAUUUGUCAAAAGCCCACAGCACUGUGGCUGUUCCCAGACUUUAAGGGAUAUACUCAACCUCA
ensembl:antisense Pcsk2os1 proprotein convertase subtilisin/kexin type 2, opposite strand 1